rnacentral:lncRNA from 1 species
GCGGGAUUGAUAUUUGAAGAGAUUGUUGAGUGUGAGAAAGAACUUGAAUGUAGGCAAAUUACCAUUGCCUCCAUUACAAAGUACAGCUUCUUUAGAGUGCUUAGUGCUCUUUGAAAUGUAUUUAUCUGUUUACUUCUUUGCAGAUUAUUUCUUUUGCUAGAAUGUGGGCACCAUGAGGUUAAGGGCCUCGUUUCUGAUUCCCUGUAAGACCCUUCCCAGCAUCUAUCAUGAUGCCUGACGCCUUGCACAUUCCUUCAUACUCAUAUUCUCUCUCUCUCUCUCUCUCUCUCCCUCUCCCGUUACUAAAAAGUGCAUGCUUCCAAAUUUUGCACAUAUCAUAGACCAGUCACAGAUCCUGUGCUUGUUUUGUGUUACACACCCAGAAGACCACAGUCUGACAUUUCUUUCUCACAGUUCUGCAGCCUGGAAGCCCUGGAAGUCAAGGUGCUGGCAUCCUGUGGGGGCUGCUGGGCUGUCAUCCCUGCUGGGCUGUCAUCCCAUGGUGGAAGACGUGGCCACUGAAUGUUGGGAAGUCUCAUGGACAGAAAUCUUCUGGGUCACUUUUACAGCAUUCAUGAUGCAUUUCUGGACUCUUCGUAAAACUGAGUAAGUACCAGUCAGCAUCCCAUUUUAUAGACGAGAACACUGAAGUACAUAGACGAGAAGGUACUCAUCCAGAGUCACAUAGCCUGUGAGUGAGAGAGGCCUGAUGCUCUAGCUGAAGGACCAGUGCUCUUUCUUCCUGUGUGCCUGGGAGGGGCCAGGAGGAAACGCAUUGCUCAGGAGAGAAAGCAUGGUGGAGUAGAGAGGAUGCUUGGUUCUGGGAGCUCAAAAGAAAGGUCAUAGGAUGGAGUGUCUGACGCACUCGGAGCUGACCUCCCUUUAGUCUCCUUGGGGCACCUUGACAUUUACCAUAGUCUGCCUCUCCCGGGGCCACGUGGAGCUUUUCUUUCAGACUUCGCCCUGGACAAGUUGGCCUGAAUCCAGUUUCGCUUUCCCAUCCCCGUUGAAUAAUUCCUACCAAGCGGGGCCGCAUCAUUCCCUCUAACCUUUUCUGAGUCCCACAGGGUCACAUGGCCUCUAACCUUACUGCGCUCUCCCACCUUCCUCCUCUCUCCCUCCUCCCCUCGUCCUCCCCUCCCUUCCUCACCCUCCUCCCUUGCCCUCUUCUUUCUUUUCUUUCUCUUUUUCUCCCUCUCCUCUUCACCUUCCUUCCCCUCCCUCCCUCCCUCCCUCCAACCUGCCUGCCUCUCCUUUAUCACCCAGCUCUAGAGCAUCCUCUGUGCUCCUCCCCAGUUCCAAUGGGAGGACUUUCUCAGCCCUCCAAGCUGUAGGAAAGGAAGGUUCCUUUGCUGCCCCUUUGCUUUGCAUUCAAUUUUGUGUUUUCCUGAAGACUCCUCUAAGCUCCGCUUUACCCAAAACUCAGUUUAGUUUAUCAAACCUUCCCACAAGCAUCUUCUGUGACCUCCGUUGCUAAGCCUUGAAGACUCAAUGACAAAAGAGAGAAAGCCCUCAUCUCCCGAGACUCAGGGUCUGACUUGUAUGCGCGUCUCAGUCCUUGAGGAGGGUGCCGUCCUUUAGCAGAAGCUUCUCUGCACAAUCAGAAACACCUUCAGGAACCAGAAAGCUACAUUCCAAAGUGACAGGUAGCUUGGUGUGGUGGUAUACACCGGGAUUCUGGGAGACCGAGCGAAGAGGAUCCCAAGUUUGAGCCCAGUCUGGAGAAUUUAAAAUAAAAAACAGGCUGGAGAUGUUGCUCAGUGAGAAAGCUCUGGGUUUGAUCCCCGGUACUGAAAAAUAAAAUGCUGGAGGGAGCUGCACAGUGCUUGCAGGCAGGGACACACAGCAGGAGCUCUGAGACUGCGCCAGAGGGAGCCAGUGCAGGACAGCUGCUGGACAUGGGAGCAGGAGACGUGAAGAGACAGCAGGGCGUCUUGUGGUCCUCCAGGCAUGGAAGCCAGAAACACUGCAAUUAACUUACAUUGCCAGGACCUACUAGUAGUUACCUGAUAAAGAGUUCCUGGGAAACUACGCUAGCCUGGAAGCUGACUGCAUAAGUAAAAAUUAUUAACACAUUAAGUCAUAAUUAUUAAGUAAAAUAAUGACAGAAACAACUCUGAGGUAAACUUACAAAACAAAAUUAGAGCUUUUUUUUACUCCAGGUAUACUUUAAUUUAUCUACCUCACAAUGUGCUUAACUGUUAGAGUGUGUCCCAACUCAUGGCCCUCUAUCAAAGGUUAACAGGCUGUCAUUUCUUUAACUUAUUAGUAGCCUUGGUCUUAAAACUAUUUUUUCUCUUAGACUGGUUCCCCCUAGCUCUGAGGAUCUUACUUGUUCCUUAUCACUCACAGGAGGGAGGAGCACCUUUGUUCUUGGGGUGCAAGGGCAGCCACAUCUCUGAA